UCCAGGGUAGGGUGGACAUGGCAUCUGCCCGGUAAGCGGAAGGUCGUGGGUUCGAUUCCCAUCCCUGGAC